rnacentral:rRNA from 1 species
UACGUAGGGGGCAAGCGUUGUCCGGAUUUAUUGGGCGUAAAGAGCGUGUAGGCGGUCUGGUAGGUCCGCUGUGAAAACUCGAGGCUCAACUUCGAGCUGUCGGUGGAAACUGUCUGGCUAGAGUCCGGAAGAGGAGAGUGGAAUUCCCGGUGUAGCGGUGAAAUGCGCAGAUAUCGGGAAGAACACCCGUGGCGAAGGCAGGUCUCUGGGCAUUAACUGACGCUGAGGAGCGAAAGCAUGGGGAGCGAACAGG